rnacentral:lncRNA from 1 species
AAAACUCUAAAUAAAUCCUAAAUAAAUUCUAAGUUAAAUCCUAAUUCAAAUUCUAAUUGAAUCCUAUUGAACUAUAGCCAAACUUUAGAUCAAACCCUAAUUAAAAUCCUAAUUAAUCUUAAUAAAAUCCUAAAUCAAAUCUUAAUAAAAUCUUAAUAAAAUCCUAAUAAAAUCCUAAAUCGUAAACUAGCUCUAAUAAAACCUUAGUGAAAUCCUAAUCAAACCCUAGGAAAAUUCUAAUCAAAUCCUAGUCAAAUCCUAAUCAAACCUAGAAAACAUCCUAAAUCCUAAGUAAAUCCUAAACAAAUCCUAAAUCCUAAUCAAAUCCUAAAUAAAUCUUAAUCAAAUCUUAGAUCCUAAACCAAUUCUGAUCAAUCAAUAAUCAAAUCUUAAAUCUUAAACAAAAUUCUUAACAAUCCUAUAGUAAAUUAAAAAUUCAAUAAUUAAUGAUUAAAUCAUUGAUUUUGAUUCAAACUUUGUAUACCUUGCAAAAACUGCCUUAGCAACAAGCAAAAAAACUUUGAAUAAGAUCACACAUACCAUUAGCAAGAAAAAUUCCCCAAACCUCUUCGCUGUUGGGUGCCCUCCUUCUCCAACUUGAACUUUGAUCUUUCAAUAUAGAUUUCUCUUUACUGAAUUAUUCAAUUGCUCCACAAUUUGAGUUUUAUAUAGAUAUUUUAGUCUAAAUUACUUUCACCAAU